GCCGGGCGCGGUGGCGCGCGCCUGUAGUCCCAGCUACUCGGGAGGCUGAGGCAGGAGGAUCGCUUGAGCCCAGGAGUUCUGGGCUGUAGUGCGCUAUGCCGAUCGGGUGCCCGCACUAAGUUCGGCAUCAAUAUGGUGACCUCCCGGGAGCGGGGGACCACCAGGUUGCCUAAGGAGGGGUGAACCGGCCCAGGUCGGAAACGGAGCAGGUCAAAACUCCCGUGCUGAUCAGUAGUGGGAUCGCGCCUGUGAAUAGCCACUGCACUCCAGCCUGGGCAACAUAGCGAGACCCCCGUCUCUU
ensembl:misc_RNA Metazoa_SRP Metazoan signal recognition particle RNA